AUUGAACGCUGGCGGCAUGCCUUACACAUGCAAGUCGAACGGCAGCACGGGAGCAAUCCUGGUGGCGAGUGGCGAACGGGUGAGUAAUGUAUCGGAACGUGCCCAGUCGUGGGGGAUAACGUAGCGAAAGCUACGCUAAUACCGCAUACGAUCUGUGGAUGAAAGCGGGGGACCGUAAGGCCUCGCGCGAUUGGAGCGGCCGAUAUCAGAUUAGGUAGUUGGUGGGGUAAAGGCCUACCAAGCCGACGAUCUGUAGCUGGGCUGAGAGGACGACCAGCCACACUGGGACUAGGACACGGCCCAGACUCCUACGGGAGGCAGCAGUGGGGAAUCGUGGACAAUGGGCGCAAGCCUGAUCCAGCAAUGCCGCGUGCAGGAUGAAGGCCUUCGGGUUGUAAACUGCUUUUGUACGGAGCGAAAAGGCUCUCUCUAAUACAGGGGGCUCAUGACGGUACCGUAAGAAUAAGCACCGGCUAACUACGUGCCAGCCGCCGCAGUAA
rnacentral:rRNA from 1 species